CACGGGGGGAGCAAGCGUUGUUCGGAAUCACUGGGCGUAAAGGGCGUGUAGGCCGUCAAGUAAGUGGGAUGUGAAAUCCCUCGGCUCACCCGAGGACCUGCAUCCCAAACUGCUUGGCUUGAGUAUGGGAGAGGAUGAGGGAAUUCCUGGUGUAGCGGUGAAAUGCGUAGAUAUCAGGAGGAACACCGGUGGCGAAGGCGCUCAUCUGGCCCAAUACUGACGCUGAGGCGCGAAAGCUAGGGGAGCAAACGGG
rnacentral:rRNA from 1 species